AGUGAACGCUGGCGGUAGGCCUAACACAUGCAAGUCGAACGGCAGCACAGGAGAGCUUGCUCUCUGGGUGGCGAGUGGCGGACGGGUGAGGAAUACAUCGGAAUCUACUUUUUCGUGGGGGAUAACGUAGGGAAACUUACGCUAAUACCGCAUACGACCUACGGGUGAAAGCAGGGGACCUUCGGGCCUUGCGCGAUUGAAUGAGCCGCUGUCGGAUUAGCUAGUUGGCGGGGUAAAGGCCCACCAAGGCGACGAUCCGUAGCUGGUCUGAGAGGAUGAUCAGCCACACUGGAACUGAGACACGGUCCAGACUCCUACGGGAGGCAGCAGUGGGGAAUAUUGGACAAUGGGCGCAAGCCUGAUCCAGCCAUACCGCGUGGGUGAAGAAGGCCUUCGGGUUGUAAAGCCCUUUUGUUGGGAAAGAAAUCCAGCUGGCUAAUACCCGGUUGGGAUGACGGUACCCAAAGAAUAAGCACCGGCUAACUUCGUGCCAGCCGCCGCCGUAAAAC
rnacentral:rRNA from 1 species